GGGGGACCUUCGGGCCUCUCGCGUCAAGAUAUGCCUAGGUGGGAUUAGCUAGUUGGUGAGGUAAUGGCUCACCAAGGCGACGAUCCCUAGCUGGUCUGAGAGGAUGAUCAGCCACACUGGAACUGAGACACGGUCCAGACUCCUACGGGAGGCAGCAGUGGGGAAUAUUGCACAAUGGGCGAAAGCCUGAUGCAGCCAUGCCGCGUGUAUGAAGAAGGCCUUCGGGUUGUAAAGUACUUUCAGUUGUGAGGAAGGGGGUGUCGUUAAUAGCGGCAUCUCUUGACGUUAGCAACAGAAGAAGCACCGGCUAACUCCGUGCCAGCAGCCGCGGUAAUACGGAGGGUGCGAGCGUUAAUCGGAAUUACUGGGCGUAAAGCGCAUGCAGGUGGUUCAUUAAGUCAGAUGUGAAAGCCCGGGGCUCAACCUCGGAACUGCAUUUGAAACUGGUGAACUAGAGUACUGUAGAGGGGGGUAGAAUUUCAGGUGUAGCGGUGAAAUGCGUAGAGAUCUGAAGGAAU
rnacentral:rRNA from 1 species